rnacentral:rRNA from 1 species
AGAGUUUGAUCCUGGCUCAGGAUGAACGCUGGCGGCGUGCUUAACACAUGCAAGUCGAACGAAGCACCUUAUUCUGAUUUCUUCGGAAUGAAAAAUUCGGUGACUGAGUGGCGGACGGGUGAGUAACGCGUGGGUAACCUGCCUCAUACAGGGGGAUAACAGUUAGAAAUGACUGCUAAUACCGCAUAAGACCACAGCACCGCAUGGUGCAGGGGUAAAACCUCCGGUGGCAUGAGAUGGACCCGCGUCUGAUUAGGUAGUUGGUGGGGUAACGGCCUACCAAGCCGACCAUCAGUAGCCGACCUGAGAGGGUGACCGGCCACCUUGGGACUGAGACACGGCCCAAACUCCUACGGGAGGCAGCAGGGGGGAAUACUGCACAAUGGGGGAAACCCUGAUGCAGCGACGCCGCGUGAGCGAUGAAGUAUUUCGGUAUGUAAAGCUCUAUCAGCAGGGAAGAAAAUGACGGUACCUGACUAAGAAGCACCGGCUAAAUACGUGCCAGCAGCCGCGGUAAUACGUAUGGUGCAAGCGUUAUCCGGAUUUACUGGGUGUAAAGGGAGCGUAGACGGAGUGGCAAGUCUGAUGUGAAAACCCGGGGCUCAACCCCGGGACUGCAUUGGAAACUGUCAAUCUGGAGUACCGGAGAGGUAAGCGGAAUUCCUAGUGUAGCGGUGAAAUGCGUAGAUAUUAGGAGGAACACCAGUGGCGAAGGCGGCUUACUGGACGGUAACUGACGUUGAGGCUCGAAAGCGUGGGGAGCAAACAGGAUUAGAUACCCUGGUAGUCCACGCCGUAAACGAUGACU